CCAUAGGCAAAUUUACAGCUUGCCACCUUGUAUUCGGCCACCUAACC
rnacentral:tRNA from 1 species